CCGGCACCGUUGCUGCUCGUGCUGGCAAAUCAUCCUUCAGUACCGUGAUAACGCAUAGCACGGUAAAAGAAUCAUUCCUGAGAUAACCGGAUGAUGCUAGGGUGCCCGUCGACAUGAGACGAACUGGAAGCGAACAAUCUUCACUGACGAAAGGCGAGCACAUCUGAAGACAACGUGAUACCCAAGACCGGUUGAAUAUACAUUUUUUUUUUUUGAUAAGGAGGAAAGUUGAAUAUACAUGACACACUCUUUUCUUCAGACGGUCGAAGGACACUCCUCGGAUCAACCAGACGACAGCUUAGGUUCGCCCUCACGAUGGACGGGCAGGUCUCGCUGAGGAACACGAGCUUCACCGCCACCCACGGGGUGCCGUCGCGUGCGU
rnacentral:lncRNA from 1 species